AGUGAACGCUGGCGGUAGGCCUAACACAUGCAAGUCGAACGGCAGCACAGGAGAGCUUGCUCUCUGGGUGGCGAGUGGCGGACGGGUGAGGAAUACAUCGGAAUCUACCUUUUCGUGGGGGAUAACGUAGGGAAACUUACGUUAAUACCGCAUACGACCUACGGGUGAAAGUGGGGGACCGCAAGGCCUCACGCGAUUAG
rnacentral:rRNA from 1 species